rnacentral:rRNA from 1 species
GACGAACGCUGGCGGCGUGCCUAAUACAUGCAAGUAGAACGCUGAAGGCUAAGCUUGCUUCUCUGGAUGAGUUGCGAACGGGUGAGUAACGCGUAGGUAACCUGCCUGGUAGCGGGGGAUAACUAUUGGAAACGAUAGCUAAUACCGCAUAACAGUAGAUGUUGCAUGACAUUUGCUUAAAAGGUGCAAUUGUAUCACUACCAGAUGGACCUGCGUUGUAUUAGCUAGUUGGUGGGGUAAAGGCUCACCAAGGCGACGAUACAUAGCCGACCUGAGAGGGUGAUCGGCCACACUGGGACUGAGACACGGCCCAGACUCCUACGGGAGGCAGCAGUAGGGAAUCUUCGGCAAUGGACGGAAGUCUGACCGAGCAACGCCGCGUGAGUGAAGAAGGUUUUCGGAUCGUAAAGCUCUGUUGUAAGAGAAGAACGAGUGUGAGAGUGGAAAGUCACA